AGGCGACGACGGGUAGCCGGCCUGAGAGGGCGACCGGCCACACUGGGACUGAGACACGGCCCAGACUCCUACGGGAGGCAGCAGUGGGGAAUAUUGCGCAAUGGGCGAAAGCCUGACGCAGCAACGCCGCGUGCGGGAUGAAGGCCUUCGGGUUGUAAACCGCUUUCAGCAGGGAAGAAGCCGCAAGGUGACGGUACCUGCAGAAGAAGCACCGGCUAACUACGUGCCAGCAGCCGCGGUAAUACGUAGGGUGCAAGCGUUGUCCGGAUUUAUUGGGCGUAAAGAGCUCGUAGGCGGU
rnacentral:rRNA from 1 species